CUUCAUUUUAUCCUCACAACAAACUCUGGAAAUAGAUAUUAUUACUUCUAAUUUUUGCAGAUGGAUAAAUUGAGGCAGACCAAGGUUAAAUUACUCACCAAGGAUCAUGCCACAGUAAGUGUGCGAGGUUAGAUUUGAAUAUAGGUCUUCUUGCCUCAGUGUGCCAUCCAGCUGCCUCCUCCCAAACCCCCUCCAGGAAAUACCUUCUAGUAACCUAAAAAGUUCUAAAAUGUGUGUGUUUCUAGACUAGGAAUAUCCAUGUUGGGUCUUGAAUAUGAAAUGUCUACACUAAUAUCAAAUUUUUAGUACCUCAGAUUUACUGUAAAUUGUGUGUCAUUAAAACUCUUUUUUACAUUUUCUCCUCACCCAAAGUCAGUAUCUUAGUAAAACAUUCCGAUGACCAUUGACUCCCUAAGUAUAUGGAUGUGAAGGAGGCCGGCCUUUGAAGAACGGAGGGUCAGAUCAUUGGUACCAACAUUUUGUCUCCGUGAGGGAUGCUGAUUCUGCCCGGUGGUGGUUGUGAUGGGACUCCUGGCGCCAUUGUUACAGGGAACUCUUUCUUGUUGUGUUUCUUAUGAAGAACUUACUGCUGGAUUUUCGGUUCUUAUCCAUUCUGUUAUCUUCUUCCAUGUUAUGGUGGAAAUUCAUGAAAAGUUUCCCAAAACAUUUUCACCGUUGGAUGUGCAGUUAUAAUUGCUGUUCCCCACAAUCAUGGCCCUGAGUUCUGAAGGCUGGAAGAGUUCCAGUACUUUGCCUCCACACACCUUCAGA